GCUAAGUGAGCAGUGGACCUGUCUCCAACCCUGAAAGCAGGCAGAGUGGGGUUCAGGUCUCCUUCCAUCCUGCCACUCCACUUUCCAUGUUCUGUUGAGCAAAAUCGAAAGGAAGGGGAAUUUGAGCUUAGAAGAGGGCCAGAGAUGAGGUUAAUCUCUUCAGGGAAAUGAAGGUAGAAGCAGCCUGAAUCAGAACACUGGAGUGUGGGAACAGGAAUUGGCAAGUCCAGGAAAAGCUAAGAGGCCAGAGGAUGGGAACCGUCAGCAGCAAAGUGCCUCUCUGGAUUUCCGUUUUCCUCCAAGGGGCAAGAAGCAGCUGGUGUGAGAAGGAUUUCCCUCACCUACAGCAAGAGUCCAGAUUCCACAGGGCUGCUGCUCAAAGGCACCUCAGCCUUCCAUUGGGAUGGAGCCCAGGCAGCAAAAGGUGGCCCUGGAGCCAAGCACCUCCAAGGAGUCAGAGUAGGAAGCUGUGGGGUUCUGUUUUCUCCUCUUCCCUCAAGUGUUUUGUUAAGAAAGAAGCAAUGGCUGGAUCAGUGGUCCCUUGAGUUGCUCUGGUCCUACCCAGCAUACCUGGUAUUCCCCCAAGUUGUGGCAGUGAGGACCAUCCUGAACCUUCUCUGAAUUUCUUGGCCUGCUAUGGCUAAUACUGAAUUGUAAGUAGUCAUAUCAGCCACCUUUGCUAAAAAUAGGCUUUAUUUAAUUCCAUGUGGAUACCUUGCAUUUAGUGCUUCUUACUGUCACAUCUCAUUUGAUCUUCUCAACAACCCUGUAAGAGAGGCUGAUAUCAUAAUUAUUGUUAUUUCCACCAACAUACACAUGAGAAAACUAAACCAGUGGCUUAUAAGGGUAUGUGAGUGUAGUGUGAUUGCUGCUGAGCCAUGAUCACAAAGAUUGAUCCAUUUAUCUACCUAUUUGUCCAAUAAAUAUUUAUUAAGGAUCUACAAGAACCAGGAUCUUUGCUAGUUUCAAUAAUGGGUUUUAAAUAAGUAGAUAAGAUGUGAAUCCUGCCUUCAAGGAUUCCCUGAACUAUGAGGAAUGUUAAAGACAUGUUUCCAAAUUAUAAUGUCAACAAGGCAGGAAAGUGUAAGUUUUAUGAGAGGGACAGAUAAAAUGCUUUGGAAAUUCAGGAGAGAGAAAUUAUUUCUACCAGGGAGAUUGACAUUUGUGGACAUCGUUGGAAAGCAAGUAGGAUGUAGACAUACAAUGGAUGAUGUGAGGGGCAAUCCAGGAGGAGGGAAAGCAGAACACAAUCAAAAUCAUGGGGUCAAGGUGAUCAGCCAAAAGCCAAGUUUGGGUGGAACAUAAGACAUGUGAGGGAAGGAUAGGAGAACUUAGAAAGCUGGGUUCAGAGACAGAUCUUGGAAGGCCUGUGGAGCUAAGCUAAAGAGGUUGAGCUGUAUUCUGUUGAUGAAGAUGAUUUUUUUAAGCAGGAGCCCCACAUGGUUUCUUCAUGAAAACUAAUCUGAGCAGUGUAGAGGGUAGGGAUCAGUUUUCUAGGUAACAAGUUAUAAGGUCCUGAGUAGGGUAAUAUUCUGGUAAUUUAUUGCUGUAUUAACAUGUCACCUAAAAUUUAAUGGCUCAAAAUAAUGAUUUUAUUAUAUUCAUAUCUCACAAUUUUGCUCAUUAGGAAUUUGGGUAGGGCUCAGCUGGGUGGUUCUUCUGUUCCAUAUAGCAUUACCUGGAGUCAUCCAGAGGUAUUCAGCUGGUAGGCUGGGGAGAUCUGGAGGGUCUGAGACAGCUUUCUUCACAUCCUGGCUUCUUGAAAGAAAUGACUGGAAGGCUAAGCUCAGUUGAGCCCUUCUCUCUUUCUCCAUACAGUUUCAUGGCCUCUUCAGCAAUCCAAGGCUCUAAGAUCAAGGGUUCUAAGAGAGGAAGUGGAAAUUGCCAAUCUCUUAAGUCCUGGGGCUGGAGACUGGCACAGCGUCACUUCCAUCAUAUUUAUUGGUUCAAGUCGUCACAGAGCCCCACCCAGAUUUAAAGAUUGAGACAUACAUUCACUUUUCAAUGGGAGCAAUGUCAAAAAUUUGUGACCGUCUUUCAUUCACCACAAGUAAUAAAAUGGGAAUGGACAGAGAAUGACAGGUAGAAGAUAAUUUAUAAAGGGAGAAGUUACAGGACUUGGCCCCUGCGUGGAGUCAUUCAUUCAUGAAAUAUUUAUUGAGCAUUUAUUAUGUGUUAAGCAAUGCUGUAGACAUUAAGGACACAGCGGUGAACAAAACAGAUUAAAACCCCUACCCUGUGGAGCUCAUAUGCUAAUGGAUUUGAGAGUGAAAGAUGGUGCUGAGGUUUCCAGGGUCUGUACAUGGUAUCAUGGUGGUCCAUUAUCAGAUAUAGGGGGGUCAGGAGGCUAAUUUGUAUUCAGGUUUGAUAGCAUGAUCAAGAAACUAAGUGCUCAAUUCUCCUGGCACUUGGGCUGAAAUCAUAACCACAGUAACAGCCCUCUGACUCCAAGCUAUUGAGGAAAUCCAGGAUUUUGCUUACAACCACAGACAGUGCCUGCAAGAUUACAAAGAGAAAGACAGACACUUUAACGACCUCAUAGAUUUCCUGCUUUCCUCUGGCAGGAAAAGCAUCUGGAAUCAUGCUAAUCCACAGUUCACUGUCAAUAACACUCCACUGACAAGAAGGGCUCUAAUGUCGUUAUUCACACUUGACACAGCUUAAUUCCUGUGUGCAUUUUUACUAGAGAACCUCUCCAAUGGCCCCUAUUUUAAUGAAAUGGAAGCUUCUGCCUUUAGGAAAUGGUUUCUGGGCCUUUGGAAACUUAGAAUAGUUUCAUUUCAAAGUAGACUCAAAUGCCCACAAUACAUUAUUGAGCUUAAAAUUAAAAAAGCAAGUUGCAGAGUAGUAUGUAUAACAUAACAUUUUUGGAAAAAGUAAUUGUAUGUAUACAUUCAAUUGUAUACAUGUAUGUAUACAUUCAUACAUUGUAUAUAUACAAUUGUAUGUAUAUAUAGCAAAAGAUAUAGAAGGAUACUGUGUCAGUCAGGAUGGGUAAGGUAUGUCCCAGUAAUAGACCUCAAAAAUCCUGGUGUAUGCCACGAUAAAGGCUUACUUGUCAUAUACACUGAUGCCCAUCGUGUGCUGAGGGUACUCUGUUGUCUGCACUCUGGGAUCCAACUUUCUGGAACAUCUCAUGACAGAAAAGAGAACACAGCAAAUGAGAACUGUGUGCUGACCCUUAAAGAGUCUACUCAGAAGUGACUCCUAACAGUUUGUAGCAGAUUGAAUUAUGUUCCCCCAAAACUCACUGAAGCUUGAAUUGUAUCCCCCAAGUUUUAUGUAUUAGAAACUAGGCCCCCACCAUAACUGUUAAGAGGGUGGGAAAUCCUAUUACGGUAAUUGAAAGAUGGAGCCUCAAAGAGGUGAUUAGAUUGUGCGACCAUGCCGUAGUGAAUGGAUUAAAACUGGUGGUCAUGGGCAUGGUUCUGAGGGCUUUAAAAGAAGAGAGGAGAGUCUCUCUCUCAACUCUCUCUGCUCUGCCAUUUUACAAGGUGAUACUCUGCCAUCACUGAAGUCAACACCAAAGAAAGCUUUCACCAGAUGUGUUCUCUGGACUUUGGACUUCCCAGCCUCUGAAAA